GCUAGCGAGCUAUGAAUUGCUUUUGUUGUUGAUACAAGUUUGUUUCUACGUUACUUUGGAGACAUGUUUGUAUGUUGCUAUAUUCAACUGUUGAAAUUGUUUACGUCGUCAAUUAAAAUAAAGAAUUUAGUACAGUUGUUCGAGCAACAUCGAACAGAACAGUCGCUAAUCUAACAUCAUGUUAUCAAAAUACCAUCGAUGAAGCCCUUGGACCACCUAAAGACAAUUUUCCAUUUAUGUUGAAGAUGUGUUGUGUCCUGCCCGAACCAUUCAAGAAUUUCUUAAGCACUUAAGAACGGACUGGCUGGCUAUUUUAGACAUUUUUGAAAAACUUUGCAUGCAAUAUCCACACUGUUGCAUAAGGAAAAAUCUUAUGAGUGGACAAGUGGAACGCGUUAUGAGAAGAUUACCGGUGUAAGGUGAAUCUUUGCAAAACUGCAGAAGGUGCGAGGACGCCCCAACGUCAGGAAGGCCCAGUGUUAGUUUACGUCAUGAUCUUCACCGAUGGACCGAUGCUCAUCUAUUAAAAGAAACAAGCCAGUGACCUAAGAAGUGCUUUUGUUAAGAAAUUUGAUUUUCAAUGGACAGUAGGUGUUAUUUGAUUUGGAGGUAUAUAGGUAUGUGUAGAAAUUUAUGUCUAUUUUCAAACCUCACAGAAUCUAUACUACUGAAAAAAAACGCGUGACAAUUGCUGGGGAACUUUUUAACAAGAGAAAUGUUUUCAGAUAUUUUUUGAAUAUCCUUUCCUCAGCUAAUCUUAUUGGCACUGAUUUGGUUGCUUGCUUCUUGGUCACUUUUAUUAUAUUAUCAUUAUACAAGCAACCAAAUUGUGUACAUUGUGUUCAGAACGUCUGACAACAUUUCACCAUCAGUCAAAACCAUUAUCCAAGUUGACAACAAACUUUACCUUUUCAAAAAGUAAUUUGUCCAAGAAUUCUACUAUUUCUUUGUCAUUCAAAUAUUUGCUAAGGUUCUUAAACUCCUUUUUAAUAAGUGUGCCACCCUCUUCUGCCAAAAAAAUGAAUCCACAUUUCUCACAUAUCUUUUGGAAAUAUCAGCUUCACCAACGAUGUCGAUAAAUUUAACGUGAAGUGUGGUGUCAAUAAUAUUUUUCAAUUUUGCACGUAAUAUUAUUGAUGAAUUCGUUUACUUUGGUGCAAUUAUCAUUUGACUAAUUUGGGAAUAUCCAUAUAUGAUUUCUCUAUUUCUACCGGACGCUCUAUUUUGUUAUCUCCACAUCUUCCACUGGGGGCACAACUUUUUCAAUUUCAUCUUCCUCCGGAUAGUUUGAGUGAUGAGACUGUUUGAAUUUGGGCAUCUUAUUCCUGUUUUUAUACAUUUUGGAAACGACUCUGCUGAAACCGAUUGUAGUUAAUUAGCACUAUUAAAAAUGCAUACGUCAAUAUAAAUGUGGAUAAAAUCAUACAAUGAAUACUUUCCCUUGGGCGGCAAUUAAGCAUAUUUUCAUUAUAUCUGUAUUAAAUAUUUAAA